GGCUCCAUAGUUCAAUUGGAUAGAAUAUCAGAUUUCGGCUCUGACGGUUGAAGGUUCGAAUCCUUCUGGGGUCACCA
rnacentral:tRNA from 1 species